rnacentral:rRNA from 1 species
UACGUAGGGUGCGAGCGUUAAUCGGAAUUACUGGGCGUAAAGGGUGCGUAGGCGGAUAUGUAAGUUAGAUGUGAAAUACCUGAGCUUAACUUGGGGGGGUCAUUUAAGACUGCGUAUCUAGAGUUUGUCAGAGGGGGGUAGAAUUCCGAGUGUAGCAGUGAAAUGCGUAGAGAUUUGGAGGAAUACCAGUGGCGAAGGCGGCCCCCUGGGAUAUAACUGACGCUGAGGCACGAAAGCGUGGGUAGCAAACAGG